AAAUUGGGCAAGUCGAACUUUAUUCCAUCUAAACUUAUGUUAUUUUUAAAGAGAAAUAUACAAAAAGUUUCAUCCAAAAGCGUCUAGAAAAACCUAUUCGUUAGUUAUAAAUAAUGAGAACGUAAUAAUGUAGAUAAAAAGUUGCUAAUAUAAUCAAAUAAACUUUAUUUGGUGCCAGUUUUGAAUUCAAAAUUAGGGAAGUCGAAUUUAUAGCCUCUAAACUUAUGUUAUCGAAAUGUAUAAUGAAUUUCGUCCAAAAGCGUCUAUAAAAACCUUUUAUUUGGCUAUAUAGAGUGAGAACAUAAUAAUGUUGAUAUAAAGUUGCUAAUUUAAUCAAAUGAAUUAUUUCUGGAGACACUUCUCAAUUCAAAUUGGGCAAGUCGAACUUUAUUGCAUCUAAACUUAUGUGAUUUUUAAAGAGUAGUAUACAAAUAAUUUCAUCGAAAACCAUCUAGAAAAACCUGUUAGUUGGUUAUAAAUAAUGAAAACGAAAUAAGGUUGAUAAAAAGUUGCUAAUAUAACCAAAUAAAUUAUAUUUGGUGCCAGUUUUGAAUUCAAAAUUGGGGAAAUCUAAUUUAUAGCCUCCAAACUUAUGUUAUCGAAAUGUAUAAUGAAUUUCGUCCUAAAGCGUCUAUAAUAACCUUUUAUUUGGCUAUAUAGAAUGAGAACAUAAUAAUGUUAAUAUAAAGUUGCUAAUUUAAUCAAAUGAAUUAUUUUCGUUGACACUUCUCAAUUCAAAUUGGGCAAGUCGAACUUUAUUGCAUCUAAACUUAUGUUAUUUUUAAAGAGUAGUAUGCAAAUAAUUUCAUCGAAAACCAUCUAGAAAAACCUGUUAGUUAGUUAUAAAUAAUGAAAACGAAAUAAGGUUGAUAAAAAGUUGCUAAUAUAACCAAAUAAAUUAUAUUUGGUGCCAGUUUUGAAUUCAAAAUUGGGGAAAUCUAAUUUAUAGCCUCCAAACUUAUGUUAUCGAAAUGUAUAAUGAAUUUCGUCCUAAAGCGUCUAUAAUAACCUUUUAUUUGGCUAUAUAGAAUGAGAACAUAAUAAUGUUAAUAUAAAGUUGCUAAUUUAAUCAAAUGAAUUAUUUUCGUUGACACUUCUCAAUUCAAAUUGGGCAAGUCGAACUUUAUUGCAUCUAAACUUAUGUUAUUUUUAAAGAGAAAUAUACAAAUAAUUUCAUCCAUAAGCGUCUAGAAAAACCUGUUAGUUAGUUAUAAAUAAUGUAAACGUAAUAAAGUUGAUAAAAAGUUGCUAUUAUAAUCAAAUAAAUUAUAUUUGUUGCCAGUUUUGAAUUCAAAAUUGGGGAAGUUUAAUUUAUAGCCUAUAAACUUACGUUAUCGAAAUGUAUAAUGAAUUUCGUCCGAAAGCGUCUACAAAAACCUUCUAAUUGGCUAUAUAGAAUGAGAACGUAAUAAUGUUGAUAUAAAGUUGCUAAUUUAAUCAAAUGAUUUAUUUCUGGUGACACUUCUCAAUUCAAAUAGGGCAAGUCGAACUUUAUUGCAUCUAAACUGAUGUUAUUUUUAAAGAAAAAUAUACAAAUAAUUUCAUCCAAAAGCGCCUAGAAAAACCUGUUAGUUAGUUAUAAAUAUUGAAAAUGUAACAAAGUUGAUAAAAAGUUGCUAAUAUAAUCAAAUAAAUUAUAUUUGGUGCCAGUUUUGAAUUCAAAAUUGG
rnacentral:lncRNA from 1 species